rnacentral:tRNA from 2 species
GGAGGGAUACCCAAGUCUGGCUUAAGGGGAUCAACUUCGGUUGAUUAGGAGCUUUAUUGCUCGCGUUGGUUCAAAUCCUUCUCCCUCCG